UCAGGACGAACGCUGGCGGCGUGCCUAACACAUGCAAGUCGAACGAGAAUCUGUGGAUCGAGGAUUCGUCCAAGAGAAGCAGAGGACAGUGGCGGACGGGUGAGUAACGCGUGAGGAACCUGCCUUUCAGAGGGGGACAACAGUUGGAAACGACUGCUAAUACCGCAUAACGCGUAGAGGUCGCAUGGCCUUUACGCCAAAGAUUUAUCGCUGAAAGAUGGCCUCGCGUCUGAUUAGCUAGUUGGUGAGGUAACGGCCCACCAAGGCGACGAUCAGUAGCCGGACUGAGAGGUUGAACGGCCACAUUGGGACUGAGAUACGGCCCAGACUCCUACGGGAGGCAGCAGUGGGGAAUAUUGGGCAAUGGGCGCAAGCCUGACCCAGCAAUGCCGCGUGAAGGAAGAAGGCUUUCGGGUUGUAAACUUCUUUUGUCAGGGACGAGCAGAAGACGGUACCUGACGAAUAAGCCACGGCUAACUACGUG
rnacentral:rRNA from 1 species